AGCAGUAGGGAAUAUUGGGCAAUGGACGAGAGUCUGACCCAGCCAUGCCGCGUGCAGGAAGAAGGCUUUCUGAGUCGUAAACUGCUUUUGACAGGGAAGAAUAAGGACUACGUGUAGUCUGAUGACGGUACCUGCAGAAUAAGCACCGGCUAACUCCGUGCCAGCAGCCGCGGUAAUACGGAGGGUGCGAGCGUUGUCCGGAUUUAUUGGGUUUAAAGGGUGCGUAGGCGGCCGUUUAAGUCCGGGGUGAAAGCCCGCUGCUCAACAGCGGAACUGCCCUGGAUACUGGAUGGCUUGAGUACAGACGAGGUUGGCGGAUGGACCGAGUAGCGGUGAAAUGCAUAGAUACGUCCAGAUCCCCGAUUGCGAACAGCUGACUAGCUGUACUGACGCUGAG
rnacentral:rRNA from 1 species